UACGUAGGGUGCAAGCGUUGUCCGGAAUUAUUGGGCGUAAAGAGCUCGUAGGCGGUUUGUCGCGUCGGCUGUGAAAACCCGGGGCUCAACCCCGGGCCUGCAGUCGAUACGGGCAGACUAGAGUGCGGUAGGGGAGACUGGAAUUCCUGGUGUAGCGGUGAAAUGCGCAGAUAUCAGGAGGAACACCGAUGGCGAAGGCAGGUCUCUGGGCCGAUACUGACGCUGAGGAGCGAAAGCGUGGGGAGCGAACAGG
rnacentral:rRNA from 1 species